rnacentral:rRNA from 1 species
AUUGAACGCUGGCGGCAGGCCUAACACAUGCAAGUCGAACGAGUGGCGGACGGGUGAGUAAUGUCUGGGAAACUGCCUGAUGGAGGGGGAUAACUACUGGAAACGGUAGCUAAUACCGCCUACCAUCAGCUGUGCCCAUAUGGGAUUAGCUUGUUGGUGGGGUAAUGGCUCACCUAGGCGACGAUCCCUAGCUGGUCUGAGAGGAUGACCAGCCACAGUGGAACGUAGACACGGUCCAGACUCCUACGGGAGGCAGCAGUGGGGAAUAUUGCACAAUGGGCGCAAGCCUGAUGCAGCCAUGCCGCGGGUGUGAAGAAGGCCUUCGGGUUGUAAAGCACUUUCAGCGAGGAGGCGUUACUCGCAGAAGAAGCACCGGCUAACUCCGUGCCAGCAGCCGCGGUAAUUC